GGAUGCUGCAUGGGCGCAGCCUGAUGCAGCGACGCCGCGUGAGGGAUGACGGCCUUCGGGUUGUAAACCUCUUUCAGCCUUGACGAAGCCCCUUUUUGGGGUGACGGUAGGGGCAGAAGAAGCACCGGCUAACUACGUGCCAGCAGCCGCGGUAAUACGUAGGGUGCGAGCGUUGUCCGGAAUUAUUGGGCGUAAAGAGCUUGUAGGCGGUUUGUCGCGUCUGCUGUGAAAGCCCGGGGCUUAACUCCGGGUCUGCAGUGGGUACGGGCAGGCUAGAGUGUGGUAGGGGAGACUGGAAUUCCUGGUGUAGCGGUGGAAUGCGCAGAUAUCAGGAGGAACACCGAUGGCGAAGGCAGGUCUCUGGGCCAUGACUGACGCUGAGAAGCGAAAGCGUGGGGAGCGAACAGGAUUAGAUACCCUGGUAGUCCACGCCGUAAACGUUGGGCGCUAGGUGUGGGUCCCAUUCCACGGGGUCCGUGCCGCAGCUAACGCAUUAAGCGCCCCGCCUGGGGAGUACGGCCGCAAGGCUAAAACUCAAAGGAAUUGACGGGGGCCCGCACAAGCGGCGGAGCAUGCGGAUUAAUUCGAUGCAACGCGAAGAACCUUACCAAGGCUUGACAUACACCGGACGAUCGCAGAGAUGUGGUUUCCCUUUGUGGCUGGUGUACAGGUGGUGCAUGGUUGUCGUCAGCUCGUGUCGUGAGAUGUUGGGUUAAGUCCCGCAACGAGCGCAACCCUCGUUCCAUGUUGUCAGCAACACCUUUUGGGUGGUUGGGGACUCAUGGGAGACUGCCGGGGUCAACUCGGAGGAAGGUGGGGAUGACGUCAAAUCAUCAUGCCCCUUACGUCUUGAGCUUCACGCAUGCUACAAUGGCCGGUACAAAGGGCUGCGAUCCCGUGAGGGGGAGCGAAUCCCAGAAAGCCGGUCUCAGUUCGGAUUGGGGUCUGCAACUCGACUCCAUGAAGUCGAGUCGCUAGUAUCGCAGAUCAGCAACGCUGCGUGAUACGUUCCCGGGCCUUGUACACACCGCCCGUCAGUCACGAAAGUCGGUACAUCCGAAGCAGGUAGCUAUUCCCUUGGUGGGAGGAGCUGUCGUAGGUGGAACUGGUGAUUGGACUAAGUCACA
rnacentral:rRNA from 1 species